GACGAACGCUGGCGGCGUGCUUAACACAUGCAAGUCGAACGGAAAGGCCCUGCUUUUGUGGGGUGCUCGAGUGGCGAACGGGUGAGUAACACGUGAGUAACCUGCCCUUGACUUUGGGAUAACUUCAGGAAACUGGGGCUAAUACCGGAUAGGAGCUCCUGUUGCAUGGUGGGGGUUGGAAAGUUUCGGCGGUUGGGGAUGGACUCGCGGCUUAUCAGCUUGUUGGUGGGGUAGUGGCUUACCAAGGCUUUGACGGGUAGCCGGCCUGAGAGGGUGACCGGCCCCAUUGGGACUGAGAUACGGCCCAGACUCCUACGGGAGGCAGCAGUGGGGAAUAUUGCACAAUGGGCGGAAGCCUGAUGCAGCAACGCCGCGUGCGGGAUGACGGCCUUCGGGUUGUAAACCGCUUUCGCCUGUGACGAAGCGUGAGUGACGGUAAUGGGUAAAGAAGCACCGGCUAACUACGUG
rnacentral:rRNA from 1 species